AAGUGCUGGGAUUACAGGUGUGAGCCACCGUGCCCAGCCCUUACCUUUCUUUUUAAGAGGCGACUUCUCGCUCUGUCUCCCAGGCUAGAGUAUAGUGGUGCAAUCAUGGCUCACUGCAGCCUCAAACUCCCAGGUUCAAGUGAUCCUCCUGCUUCAGCCCCCCAAACGCUGGGAGUACAGGUGUGAGCCACCCUGCCCAGCCCCUUUCCUUACCUUUCUCUCUGACUUUGCCUCCUCCUCUUCUUGUUGUUUCAGAACAAAGGGACCCCGGUGAAACAGUAGGUGGAGAUGAGAUUAUGAUGGUCAUCAAAGACAGCCCGCAAACCAUCCCAACAUACACAGAUGCCCUGCAUGUUUAUUCCACGGUAGAGGGAUACAUCGCCUACCGACAUGAUCAGAAAGGCUCAUGCUUUAUCCAGACCCUGGUGGAUGUGUUCACGAAGAGGAAAGGACAUAUCUUGGAACUUCUGACAGAGGUGACCCGGCGGAUGGCAGAAGCAGAGCUGGUUCAGGAAGGAAAAGCAAGGAAAACGAACCCUGAAAUCCAAAGCACCCUCCGGAAACGGCUGUAUCUGCAGUAGAAGUAGAAAGACCGGGAGGAGCUUUCCUUCCAGCAUUCUUUCUGUCUCACAGAAAUUUAGAGGCAGCUCUUACCUCUCCCCAAGAUCUCUUCCCAAGGCUAAAUGGCACCCAGUUUCUUUUUCUUCACACCCUUCAUGCAGGUCCUCCUGUCCUUCUCAGAGCAAGCCAGCCAAAACUUAGCAUAA
rnacentral:sRNA from 1 species